rnacentral:rRNA from 1 species
GACGAACGCUGGCGGCGUGCUUAACACAUGCAAGUCGAACGGAAAGGCCUGCUUUCCCUUGUGGAUUGCGGGUACUCGAGUGGCGAACGGGUGAGUAACACGUGAGUGAUCUGCCCCCAACUUGGGUAUAAGCCUGGGAAACUGGGUCUAAUUCCCGAUAGGACUGCAGGGUGGUGCCUGUGGUGGAAAACGAUUUUCUAGUGGUUGGGGAUGAGCUCGCGGCCUAUCAGCUUGUUGGUGGGGUAAUGGCCUACCAAGGCGGCGACGGGUAGCCGGCCUGAGGGGGUGGACGGCCACAUUGGGACUGAGAUACGGCCCAGACUCCUACGGGAGGCAGCAGUGGGGAAUAUUGCACAAUGGGCGGAAGCCUGAUGCAGCGGCGCCGCGUGGGGGAUGACGGCCUUCGGGUUGUAAACUCCUUUCGACCGCGAGGAAGCCACCUGGUUGGAAGGGUGGUGACGGUAGUGGUAGAAGAAGCACCGGCUAACUACGUG